rnacentral:rRNA from 1 species
GACGAACCGUGCGAACGUUGCUCGGAAUCACUGGGCGUAAAGGGUGCGUAGGCGGGUCUUUAAGUCAGGGGUGAAAUCCUGGAGCUCAACUCCAGAACUGCCUUUGAUACUGAAGAUCUUGAGUUCGGGAGAGGUGAGUGGAACUGCGAGUGUAGAGGUGAAAUUCGUAGAUAUCGAGAGGAACACCGGUGGCGAAGGCGGCUUUCUGGACGAUUACUGACGCUGAGACGCGAAAGCGUGGGGAGCAAACAGG